rnacentral:rRNA from 1 species
AGUGAACGCUGGCGGUAUGCCUAACACAUGCAAGUCGAACGGCAGCACAGUAAGAGCUUGCUCUUACGGGUGGCGAGUGGCGGACGGGUGAGGAAUACAUCGGAAUCUACUUUUUCGUGGGGGAUAACGUAGGGAAACUUACGCUAAUACCGCAUACGACCUACGGGUGAAAGCAGGGGAUCUUCGGACCUUGCGCGAUUGAAUGAGCCGAUGUCGGAUUAGCUAGUUGGCGGGGUAAAGGCCCACCAAGGCGACGAUCCGUAGCUGGUCUGAGAGGAUGAUCAGCCACACUGGAACUGAGCCACGGUCCAGACUCCUACGGGAGGCAGCAGUGGGGAAUAUUGGACAAUGGGCGCAAGCCUGAUCCAGCCAUACCGCGUGGGUGAAGAAGGCCUUCGGGUUGUAAAGCCCUUUUGUUGGGAAAGAAAAGCAGCAGGUUAAUACCCCGCUGUUCUGACGGUACCCAAAGAAUAAGCACCGGCUAACUUCGUG